CCCGGAGGAGCAGCUGGGCAUGGGCACAGCCAUCCCACGGACAAGAUCGACGUCUAUUACUUCGGCGUCCUCCUCGUCGAGCUAUGGCACCACCUCGCCCACGGAUAACCUCGACCGGUCGACCCCUAUGACACCACCAAAUGGCGUUGCAGAAGCACGGAGUACAUAGGACGAGACACGGUGGUGGCCAUGGACCCGAGGGUGAGGACGAGACGGUUGUUAGUGGCGGCGAUGGAGAGGAUGCUGGUGAUGGCAGAGCGGUGCGUGACAUCAACGAGGAGGGGCAAUGUGGUGGUCCAGGAGAUAGGAUGAGCCGUGGCAGGAGGCACGGGGCGCCACCGCCACUGGAGACAGGAGCUCCGUGUGGGUGAGUCGAUGAUGCCGACGGCCCGUUUCCAGGCCACCCCACGGCCAGCACGUGGUUCUGAAAGUUAGAUAACAUUUAAUAACGGUAACUUAUGCAGUUGUCGUCUGCGAAUGCUCGUAGGUUAUCGCCCUUGCACAAAUUUUAGUUACCCACAUGUUUAUGUUACAAUGAUCAUCCUGCCAUACUUGUUACCAACCAAGCUUAGAUGUAGUUACCCAGCUUGUGACGUGGGUUGGUAACUAUAUCUACCGUUCAUUGGUAGCUUCAUGCACCGUGGGUUGGUAACUAUAUGCGCCGUGGGAUGGUAACUUCAUGCAGCGUUCGUUGAUAACUAUACGUGCUGUUUCAUUGGUAACUUCAUGCACCGUUCAUUGGUGACUUCAUGCA